rnacentral:lncRNA from 1 species
GCCCCAGCACCAAGAGGAUGGCGCUGGGGAGUUUUCAAACCUCAUCAAAAGAAGGAGCACCUCAAGUAGCAGCGGGGAAGGCCCGAGGGGCUGAGGCCUCCGGCAUCCCAGGUGUCCCCCGGGGGGGUCAGGGCCCAGGCCUGGGGGCAGGAGGCUCCUGCCCGGCUCUGCGGCUGGCCUGACCGUGGCCGGGCGCCGGGCCUCUCUGGGCUCCGUCCCCUCAACUCUUCGACGCCCCUGCUCUAGGAUGUCACGAAGAAGAAAUGAGAAAUUGCGGAUGGAAGCCCAGGAGGGCCCCAGAGCAGAGGUUUCUCCAGCCCAGAAUGCCACUCGUGCCGUGGUUAGGGCUCACCAAACCCGGGAGGAGAACACGGAACGUUUAAUGACAAAGGUUGGUUUUUACUAUUUGGGGGGCCCGGCUGCAGGUGCCAGGGAAGGUGUGGGGGGGGGGGCAGGGGCAGUUGGGAGGAAGGUGAGGCCUUCAGGCAAAGGUUCUCUCUCUCUUUGUUCAGACAGCAAACCUUUCCUGAGAGCUCAGUCUGCGCCAGGGGCUGAGCAAAAAUGGCCCUGCCCCCUGCUCUGGCAGAGCAUCCAGUCUCGUGGGGCCCAGUGAGAGGGAACCACACAGACUGGGUGAGCAAGGAAGCAGGAACGGCCCCGAGCAUCCACCAGCAGAUGUACGGAGAAACAGAGUGUGACCCACCCAUACAACGGAAUAUUAUUCAGCCCUGAAAAAGAGCGACGUUCUGAUACACGCUACAGCACCGGUGACCCUUAGAAACGUCAUCCUGAGUGAAAGAAGUCAAACACAGAAGAACCACGUAUUGUAGGAUUCCAGUCCUAUGAAAUAUCCAGAAGAGCCCAAUCUACAGAAACAGCAGAUUAGGGGGUGCCUGGGCCUGGAGAGGAAGUUUAUUUGGGGGUCAUGAAAAUGUCCUAAACUUGAUAGUAGUGAUGGCUGCACAAGUCUAGAAUAGACUAAAGACCACUGACCUGUACACUUUAAGGGGGUAAAUUAUGUGGCCUGUGGCUUCUAACUCAGUAAAGCUGUGAUAUAUACAUUUAUAAAGGUGAAUGGAGAGCCGUGUAAUGAAUAUAAAAGCUGCAAAAGGCUGAGGUGGAGCAGCCCUGGGGCCAGGCUGUGCCCUGCUGGUGGCCUCUGGGAGGCCUGCAGGCUGGGGUGGAAGGAGGAGAGGACAAUUGCAGGCAGGAGGGACAGUGUGUGCAGUCCCUGCUCCCGGGGUGGCGAACGGGGGAUGAGACAGGGAGCUCGGAGGAUUCCAGAAGGGAGAGAUAGGUUUGGGUGCCCGGGAGUGGGAGGUGGGCUGGAG